ACGGGUGAGUAACACGUGGGUAACCUGCCCAUCAGAAGGGGAUAACACUUGGAAACAGGUGCUAAUACCGUAUAACAAUCGAAACCGCAUGGUUUCGUUUUGAAAGGCGCUUUACGGUGCCGCUGAUGGAUGGACCCGCGGUGCAUUAGCUAGUUGGUGAGGUAACGGCUCACCAAGGCCACGAUGCAUAGCCGACCUGAGAGGGUGAUCGGCCACAUUGGGACUGAGACACGGCCCAAACUCCUACGGGAGGCAGCAGUAGGGAAUCUUCGGCAAUGGACGAAAGUCUGACCGAGCAACGCCGCGUGAGUGAAGAAGGUUUUCGGAUCGUAAAACUCUGUUGUUAGAGAAGAACAAGGGUGAGAGUAACUGUUCACCCCUUGACGGUAUCUAACCAGAAAGCCACGGCUAACUACGUGCCAGCAGCCGCGGUAAUACGUAGGUGGCAAGCGUUGUCCGGAUUUAUUGGGCGUAAAGCGAGCGCAGGCGGUUUCUUAAGUCUGAUGUGAAAGCCCCCGGCUCAACCGGGGAGGGUCAUUGGAAACUGGGAGACUUGAGUGCAGAAGAGGAGAGUGGAAUUCCAUGUGUAGCGGUGAAAUGCGUAGAUAUAUGGAGGAACACCAGUGGCGAAGGCGGCUCUCUGGUCUGUAACUGACGCUGAGGCUCGAAAGCGUGGGGAGCAAACAGGAUUAGAUACCCUGGUAGUCCACGCCGUAAACGAUGAGUGCUAAGUGUUGGAGGGUUUCCGCCCUUCAGUGCUGCAGCUAACGCAUUAAGCACUCCGCCUGGGGAGUACGACCGCAAGGUUGAAACUCAAAGGAAUUGACGGGGGCCCGCACAAGCGGUGGAGCAUGUGGUUUAAUUCGAAGCAACGCGAAGAACCUUACCAGGUCUUGACAUCCUUUGACCACUCUAGAGAUAGAGCUUCCCCUUCGGGGGCAAAGUGACAGGUGGUGCAUGGUUGUCGUCAGCUCGUGUCGUGAGAUGUUGGGUUAAGUCCCGCAACGAGCGCAACCCUUAUUGUUAGUUGCCAUCAUUUAGUUGGGCACUCUAGCAAGACUGCCGGUGACAAACCGGAGGAAGGUGGGGAUGACGUCAAAUCAUCAUGCCCCUUAUGACCUGGGCUACACACGUGCUACAAUGGGAAGUACAACGAGUCGCGAAGUCGCGAGGCUAAGCUAAUCUCUUAAAGCUUCUCUCAGUUCGGAUUGUAGGCUGCAACUCGCCUACAUGAAGCCGGAAUCGCUAGUAAUCGCGGAUCAGCACGCCGCGGUGAAUACGUUCCCGGGCCUUGUACACACCGCCAGUCACACCACGAGAGUUUGUAACACCCGAAGUCGGUGAGGUAACCUUU
rnacentral:rRNA from 1 species